CAUGUACUCCCUCCGUCUCAAUAUUCUUGUCUUAGAUUUGUUUAGAAAUGAAUGUAUCUAAAUACUAAAACGUGAGUAGAUACAUUCAUAUCUAGACAAAUCUAAAACAAAAAAAAAUUAGGACGGAGGGGGUAGAAU
rfam:Hordeum vulgare subsp. vulgare, WGS project CAJW01000000 data, contig: morex_contig_6265